CACCGGCGGCCCGAGUGGCGGUCCCUAUUAUUUGGUCUAAAGCGUCCGUAGCCGGCUUGGCAAGUCCCCUGGGAAAUCUGGCGGCUUAACCGUCAGGCGUCCAGAGGAUACUGCCAGGCUUGGGACCGGGAGAGGUGAGAGGUACCUCAGGGGUAGGGGUGAAAUCUUGUGAUCCCUGAGGGACCACCAGUGGCGAAGGCGUCUCACUAGAACGGGUCCGACGGUCAGGGACGAAAGCUGGGGGCACGAACCGG
rnacentral:rRNA from 1 species